GAGACCCUGUACACUGGACACAACCCCUGAACAAGCCACCUUCAACUGAUCGCUCAAACCCCGUACCAUCGUCAGAGCUCUCGACUCCAUCUCCUAUGAGGAGGCAUCCACACAUACACAUUGAGAAUGUGUCUGAUAGACAGUCUGAACUGUUACAUUCUCCGGCAGUUCUUUGGGCUGCCCUUCCUUCCAUUCUUUCCAUCUUUGCAGUAACUGCUCCGGAGCACCUCCUAGCUGCUGGUUGGCACUGGCCAAGGUAACCCGGGCACUUUCCAGCAGGUCCAUAGUGCUGGUCAUUUGAGUCACAGCUGCAUGCGUAGUGUCUCUGGCUUUGCGGGCCCUAAUGAGAGACUGUUCAAGCGCCCUCUCCCGAACUUUGGCUGACAGUUUACCCAGGCGGACAAAAUAGCUGGGUCUAGUAGUUACUAUGAAUCCUUCCUCCUCACCUGGUCUUGGUUCAGCCAGCGCAGCUGUAGGCAGAAACAACACUGGUGGUGUCAAUAUCUUACAUUCAUACAUAUCAAAAGUUUGAGGUCAUUCAAAUAUUUUUAUGUUUUUCAGAAGUUUCUUAUGCUCACCAAGACUACAUUAAUUUGACCAAGAAUACAGAGAUAAUAUUACAAUUUAAAAACCCAUUUUUGUAUUUGAAUAUCUUUUCAGAUGUAAUUUAUUUCUGUGAAUGCAAAGCAGCAGCCAUUAUUCCAGUCUACAGUGUCGCAUGAUCCUUCAGGAAUCAUUCUAAUAUGCUGAUUUGAUGCUCAAAAAAUCUUAAUAUCAUCACAUUAUCAAUUUUGAAAACAUUUAGACUGCUUAACAUUUUUGUGGAAACCAUUAAGUUCAAAAGAACAGCAUUUAUUUGAAAUAGAUUCUUUUUUCAAUUUAUAUACAUUUACUGUCACCUUUGAACAAUUUAAUCCAUGCUUUCUACAUUAAAAUAUAUUUGUAAAAAUGACUGAAUCCAAACUUUUGAACAAUAUUGUAUAUACAUAUAAUAAAAUACAUAAAUAUAAAUAUACAUGAAAUAAA